rnacentral:rRNA from 1 species
AACGAACGCUGGCGGCAUGCCUAACACAUGCAAGUCGAACGAGACCUUCGGGUCUAGUGGCGCACGGGUGCGUAACGCGUGGGAACCUGCCUUUAGGUUCAGAAUAACUCAGAGAAAUUUGAGCUAAUACCGGAUGAUGUCUUCGGACCAAAGAUUUAUCGCCUUUAGAUGGGCCCGCGUUGGAUUAGCUAGUUGGUGGGGUAAAGGCCUACCAAGGCGACGAUCCAUAGCUGGUCUGAGAGGAUGAUCAGCCACACUGGGACUGAGACACGGCCCAGACUCCUACGGGAGGCAGCAGUGGGGAAUAUUGGACAAUGGGCGAAAGCCUGAUCCAGCAAUGCCGCGUGAGUGAUGAAGGCCUUAGGGUUGUAAAGCUCUUUUACCCGAGAUGAUAAUGACAGUAUCGGGAGAAUAAGCUCCGGCUAACUCCGUG